GUGGUUUAGUGGUUAAAGUAGUACUCUUCUAAUGUCUAGCCCUGGGUUCGAUUCCCAGAAGCUCA